rnacentral:lncRNA from 12 species
AUGCUUUGUGUUCAGGUUGCACGAAGAGGUGGAGGGAUGCCUGGCUUUUCUUUAUUCGCCCAGAAUAGGCUGAUGGGAAGUCGGAGCCUGCCUUCCUCUCUUGAAACAACCCCCACGGCUCUUUCUCCUUUGUUGUUAAGACCUCUCUUCAAACCCAGUUGCUUCAAGACAGAAAGGAGACUGGAGAGCUUCACCGGUAACUAG